rfam:Gallus gallus isolate RJF #256 breed Red Jungle fowl, inbred line TCD001 chromosome 4, whole genome shotgun sequence.
GAUCUGGAUCUAUUAAGAUCCACAAUUUGUAUACAAGUAAACAAUAU